rnacentral:rRNA from 1 species
AUACGGAGGGGGCUAGCGUUGUUCGGAAUUACUGGGCGUAAAGCGCGCGUAGGCGUCUUAUCAAGUUAGGCGUGAAAGGCCUGGGCUCAACCCGGGAACUGCGCUUAAUACUGGUAGACUUGAGUCCGGGAGAGGGUGGCGGAAUUCCCAGUGUAGAGGUGAAAUUCGUAGAUAUUGGGAAGAACACCAGUGGCGAAGGCGGCCACCUGGCCCGGUACUGACGCUGAGGUGCGAAAGCGUGGGGAGCAAACAGGAUUAGAUACCCCAGUAGUCC